ACCGGGACAAUAUUCUUUUUUCAUCUCUAUCUGAUUUUAUUAUGGCUUGCAAAAUCCCUUUUAGAAAGGAAGAAAAAAUGGCUGAUCAGCUCACUGACGACCAGGUCUCUGAGUUGAGGGAGGCCUUCAGCCUCUUCGACAAGGACGGCGAUGGCUGUAUCACUGCCAAAGAGCUUGGGAAUGUGAUGCGGUCACUAGGGCAGAAUCCAACUGAACCGGAGUUGCAAGAGAUGAUAGAUGAGGCUGAUACUGAUAACGAUGGUACUAUAAAUUUCGUAGAAUUCCUUGAGCUGAUGGCCCGAGGGAUGAAGGACGCCGCUUCGGAGGAGGAGCUAAGGGAGGCUUUCCGGGUGUUCGACAAAGACCAAGAUGGCCUUAUUUCUGAAGCUGAGCUGCGAAAUGUUAUGACAAAUCUAGGUGAGAAGCUGACGAAAGAGGAAGUUGAUGAGAUGAUUCGUGAGGUUGACAUGGAUGGUAAUAACCACGUCGACUAUGAGGAGUUUGCCAAAGUCAUGAUGGCCAAAAGAGAUAAGAGGAUGGGAGAUCAGAGAAGCCCUAGCCCUAGUUUCCGAAGAUUAGAUCAACCUAUCAAACUGACGUCCUCAAAUGUAGAGGUCAGUGACCACAAGGGACGUUGUCUUUGUUGUAUCCUCUAAUUACCAGUGAAGUACUACUCCUGAAUGGUCCAAGUUGUGUGGUACAAAUGACUCAGGUCUAGAAAUUAGGAUUCGGGUCCAAGUCUAAGGGCUAUGCCAAAAUGAGGGAAUGAAUCCCCUCACACGGGGAAAAAUGUUGGCAACAAGGAGGUAGCUGGGUGGGCAACGUGCAUCUGAAGUGGAAGCAAGGCGAGCAACACUUUGUAGAAAGCUUGGCAGCUGUGGCACAACAUAGGGCAACGAAGGAAGACGAGCAAUGAGCAGGGACAAGCCCGGUGCAAAUUCGGGAGCACUCCAGGGCAAUUCGAAGAAGCUUAAAGGGAACAAGUGUCGUACCCAAGGCCCAUGCAUUAAAGACAUCACGUCAUGAGUACGCUUGGGAAUAAGGUAUACAAACCUGCAAGCCAUAUCAUCUGAUCUCAUAAGUAUGUCCUAACUCCACACGGAAGACUCUCAUAACGAGAAGGACAAUGGGUUUGGUCCCAAGGCAAGUUGUAGAGACGUGCGAGCGUUGUCCGACCAGUCACUCGGUCUCUACGAUUCUUCAAGUUCAUAAGACAAAUGGAUGACCGUGAUUUAAGGUCUCUCAUUCAAGAAAGACAGAGGCCAGUGGAAACGUCAAGAUCCGUCAGGACUAUAACUGGCAAUUAUGUCGUAUAUAAGACAAUAGAGGAUAGUCAACAUUUCACUUUAGAGAUCAUAAAGGAUUUCAACACUUUUUUUUUCUUCUUUUCUAUUCGAGGAUUUCAAGGAGGCGGAAAACUCAAAGACUUCAUCAACCAAGGGAUUGGCACCGCCAGUGCAACUUAGUAUUAGAAUACUAUUCAGGUAGGUUCA